rnacentral:lncRNA from 1 species
UUUUAAAAUACUGUAAACUUACCUGCAUCAUCGUGAACAUUUGUCAAAUGAGAAAGAAUAGUUUGAAACCAAGAAGAAAGGAGCAUUUCUGUCAGUUCUCCAAAGCAAACUUGAGAGUUGGGAAACUUGGAUAGCGUAGAUAAGAUUCAAGCAGGCUUUGAAACAUGCAGUUUCCUUUGAACUGAGCCCUGCUACCUCUGUACCCCUUGGGGAAAGAAGGAACAGGUGUUCAAGGGAAUUCUGAGGCUUUCUAAGCUCUUCAGUCAAGGAAGGAACAAUCCAGACAGGAGUCAGAAGGGAGCCAGGAGUCACUGGGGCCCAUCUCCUGGGGAUGAGAGGCUUUGCCACCACCAGCGUGGGGCUCUGAGUGCCUGAAGAGCUCAGUGCUAACAACUAGGGGGACCAUGUCCAGUUGCAUCUGAUGGAGGAGAAACUCCUGCAAAGGACACCCACACUGGGCUCAGUUGAGAGCAGAGAGACUCUCUUGGUGCUGCUGGGAGGGGGGACAAACAAGAGCACCUGUGUGGGAGCUUCUCCCAGCAGAAACACUAUUGGGAAACUGUGUCUCUCCUCCUGAGUGGCUAAACGUAGCUUCAGCCCUUUCAUCCUCUCCUGGUCUCUUGCAGAGCCUCAUUAUUUUCAUGGAGGCCUUAGAGGGCAUUGAGACUCUCAUUCCCAAGGACAAGUUUCUGGCCAUCACCAGUGCCAUGUUCUACCAGGCUAUUUCUACUGGAACUUUAUUGGUGAAUGCCAUGCAGCCUGGAAACUUCUGGGGAAGGAAUUUCUUCAGGCCUUGACUCAGUCUCUGUCAACCCUGAACAUACGUAAAAUCGGUGGAAAACACAUUUUGGCGUAUAAUACUAACAGUGAAAGCACUCUUACAAAAUAACUGUCUUUAAAACCACAGAUAUUCUAAAGUUUCUUGUUGCC